rnacentral:rRNA from 1 species
AACGAACGCUGGCGGCAGGCUUAACACAUGCAAGCCGAGCGCCCCGCAAGGGGAGCGGCCGACGGGUGAGUAACGCGUGGGAACGUACCUUUUGGUUCGGAACAACUCCGGGAAACUGGAGCUAAUACCGGAUAAGCCCUAACGGGGAAAGAUUUAUCGCCGAAAGAUCGGCCCGCGUCUGAUUAGCUAGUUGGUGAGGUAACGGCUCACCAAGGCGACGAUCAGUAGCUGGUCUGAGAGGAUGAUCAGCCACACUGGGACUGAGACACGGCCCAGACUCCUACGGGAGGCAGCAGUGGGGAAUAUUGGACAAUGGGCGCAAGCCUGAUCCAGCCAUGCCGCGUGAGUGAUGAAGGCCUUAGGGUUGUAAAGCUCUUUUGUCCGGGAAGAUAAUGACUGUACCGGAAGAAUAAGCCCCGGCUAACUUCGUG